rnacentral:rRNA from 1 species
UACGAAGGGGGCGAGCGUUUGUUCGGAUUUACUGGGCGUAAAGGGCGCGCAGGCGGCUCAUUUUGUCAGGCGUGAAAGCCCCGGGCUUAACCUGGGAACUGCGUUUGAUACGGAUGGGCUAGAGUUCGGGAGAGGAGAGUGGAAUUCCCAGUGUAGAGGUGAAAUUCGUAGAUAUUGGGAAGAACACCGGUGGCGAAGGCGGCUCUCUGGGGCAACAACUGACGCUGAGGAGCGAAAGCGUGGGGAGCGAACGAGG